rnacentral:lncRNA from 1 species
AGUUAAGUUGGUUUUGGACAUAUUUUCAAAGUCUGAGUUGCUUAUAUUUCUAACCGAAAUCUAGCAACCCCAAAUUAACUUCAAUAAAGAGGUAACGUUAAGGAAAGUUUUUAAAACACAGAACGAAAAUUUAUUUCCUUGAACAAACAAAACUCUCCACUCGACUGCUUUCAAACAAACUGGAUGAUACAGGUAUUUUACUUCAAAAUCUCCCAGUGGCUUGGUUCCUAGACGACUCAGAAGUUUUGUUAUCACCAUUAUGUCGAGUGACGUUUCUUUGUCAGACAUCCUGCCAUUGCAUAAGUAUGAAUAUUGGAAAGUUCCUGGCUGUCUCCUUAAUGGUCUUGUAUCCAAGUAUUUUGUUCAGGUUAGUAAAUUGACCUUUAGUUUAAUUCUAACAAAUAUCAUUUAGUUGUCAUAAGUAUGAAUAUUGGACAUUAAUGGCCAUCCCUACGUACCUGAAAGAUUCCUGGCUGUCUCCUUAAUGGUCUUGUAUCCAAGUAUUUUGUUCAGGUUAGUAAAUUGACCUUUAGUUUAAUUCUAACAAAUAUCAUUUAGUUGUCAUAAGUAUGAAUAUUGGACAUUAAUGGCCAUCCUUACGUACCUGAAAGAUUCCUGGUUGUCUCCUUAAUGGUCUUGUAUCCAAGUAUUUUGUUCAGGUCUAACGUACCACAUACAUACAGACUUCUCUGGAAACAGGUGUUGUAGAAACAACCAGUCAUAUGACACGAUUGACUAAAUACGGUUGUUCAAUAUGAAGAACUGUCUUAAACUGGAGACCAUGGGAACAACAGUAGUUGUAUAACUUCUAUGAGCUCAGGUAAUAGUAUGUUUUGGCCUGUAGUUUGAAGAACUUAGAUGUAUUGUUAGAUCAAAUUGUAGUUUGUGUAAUUGGUGCAACUAAAUAAAUAUGUAUUUUGAAAUUUUAAAAAAACAAUUAACUCAAACUGAUAUUUAAACCUCAAGUGUUUACACACACACCAAAACAACUGCACAUUGCGUAAUUUUUCUAAAAGAAUGUUUAGAAAAUAAUAAACAGAAUUUCGAUUUUUUUUAUUUUUUUUUAUUUUUUUUUUAUGAUGUGAUUAAUGACAUAUGAAUGAAAUUAUGAACUCAAGCAACUGAAGUUGAAUUUUUUUCUUGGAUUGUUUAGUAUUAUAUCCUGGUAAGGCAUCAAUUAAAUAGGUAGAACUUACCAAGUCAAGUUAUAGCAUGGACUUAUAAUAGCUAAUGUAUAAAUAUAGGUCUGAGGUGGCAGAAACAAAAUCGUAAGAUCUUAACAAUG